AAGUCGUAACAAGGUUUCCGUAGGUGAACCUGCGGAAGGAUCAUUAUUGAAUUGCAUGAGGUAUUGAUGCUGGCUUCGAAAGGAGCAUGUGCUCGGCCUUUAUCCAAUCAACCACUGUGCACUUAUUUCGUGAGGAUGUGAUCUCCCCGUUUGCGCGGGAGCAGCUGCUUGAGAGGGCGGCCGGGGUUGUGUCUUCAUCGAACUUACAAACAACUGUAUUGUCUUGUGAAUGUAAAAAUUAAUAAAUACAACUUUCAACAACGGAUCUCUUGGCUCUC
rnacentral:misc_RNA from 1 species